GCAAAACGCGAAGAACCUUACCAGGUCUUGACAUCCCGCUGCCCGCUCUAGAGAUAGAGUUUUCCCUUCGGGGACAGCGGUGACAGGUGGUGCAUGGUUGUCGUCAGCUCGUGUCGUGAGAUGUUGGGUUAAGUCCCGCAACGAGCGCAACCCUUGAUCUUAGUUGCCAGCAUUCAGUUGGGCACUCUAAGGUGACUGCCGGUGAUAAACCGGAGGAAGGUGGGGAUGACGUCAAAUCAUCAUGCCCCUUAUGACCUGGGCUACACACGUGCUACAAUGGACGGUACAGAGGGUCGCAACCCCGCGGGGUGAGCAAAUCCCAUAAAACCGUUACUCAGUUCGGAUUGUAGGCUGCAACUCGCCUACAUGAAGCCGGAAUCGCUAGUAAUCGUGGAUCAGCAUGCCACGGUGAAUACGUUCCCGGGUC
rnacentral:rRNA from 1 species